rnacentral:rRNA from 1 species
AGAUAAUAGAUACCCGGGUAGUCCACGCCCUAAACGAUGUCUACUAGUUGUUGGUGGAGUAAAAUCCAUGAGUAAACGCAGCUAAACGCGUGAAGUAGACCGCCUGGGGAGUACGGUCGCAAGAUUAAAACUCAAAGGACUUGACGGGGGCCCGCACAAGCGGUGGAUUAUGUGGAUUAAAUUCGAUGCAACGCGAAAAACCUUACCUGGCCUUGACAUGCCACUAACGAAGCAGAGAUGCAUUAGGUGCCCGUAAGGGAAAGUGGACACAGGUGCUGCAUGGCUGUCGUCAGCUCGUGUCGUGAGAUGUUGGGUUAAGUCCCGCAACGAGCGCAACCCUUGCCAUUAAUUGCCAUCAUUUAGUUGGGCACUUUAAUGGGACUGCCGGUGACAAACCGGAGGAAGGUGGGGAUGACGUCAAGUCCUCAUGGCCCUUAU